AAUGGUUCAAGGGAGGAUUAAUCCGCGCCGCUGCUGUUGAUUAAAUUAUGAGUGAACUGAGAGUGCAAGUAGGUUGCUUCCAAUGGAUAUUGCAGCUGAACUGAAGCUGGAGAUGAUGGAGCAGAUUGUGCUGUGUUAUUUUGAAGUGCACAAGGCUGUGACAGUGUAUGGAAUCAAGUUGAAACUGAGCAGAUUAGAUGAAUGUUAGAACUUGCAGCUGCAUUAAGGCACUGAUGGCGUUGGUGUUCGAGUUUGCAGCUGGAAAUUGUUGCUACUACAGGCUAAUGCGGAUGUGUGAAGAACGAGAUUGCUUAUGCAGUUCAAGAAGCUACAGCUGCAGGUGAUGGUGCAGGAACAAGGCUUGGAGUCUGUUGCCGUUAUGAGAUGAGCAGCUGGAGAAUCGAAGCAGGAGCUGAGUCAUGGGAUAUUGCAGGUGGAAUUGCAGUGUUGGGGUUACAAUGGCAGCAGAAACUGUUGGUCUAUGAAUGAUAUUGGAUUAGAUGAAUGUGCAGGAUAGUAGACUGGUGGCUGCUGUGUGCGGAGUUAAUAUGGCUUGAGCUCAUGGAACUGAAGGCAUUGGUGCAGUUGCCAAUGAUGACCAUUGAGCAGCUCCAGGUGGUGCGAGAUUUGAAUUGCAGCUGAGGUCGCAGGAAUGUAAUGAUUUUGGUGCUGAGUUAGAAUUGGUACUACGGGUUAGAGCUGGAAGUGCAAGGAUCUGGAAUUGGCCUGGAGAGAUGCUGUAAUGUGUAGUUUCAGUUGGUGUUGUUACAUUGUUGCUGACGUAGAGAGAUGUUGCAGCUUGAUUAUGGCUGGCAUGAGAAGUACAUGAAGUUGUAGCUGCAGUUAAAGCUGAAAUGGUGCUGGUUUGUGUUGAAGGGAACUGCCAGUAAAAGCAUCGCAGGCAGUGUUGAUGGAAUUGAAGAAAUGUUGAUGUUGCUGGUGUUGUUGAUUGUCAUGGGACUGUGGUUGCCAAGGCUAGUUACGGGUUCAGUUCUUAUUCAGUGAUUAAAGAGUUGGCCAGAAAGGGAAUGAAGAAAUGUGUAUGAUGUUGGUUGCAAUGCAGGGAAGCAGAGAAUUAUGGAUCGACUGAUUCUGGGGAUGCUAUGUGCUGAAUGGCCUGUCAGUUCCACUAAACUGACAGGCAAAGUAAAUGUUAAAUGGGCCAUGGGCUACUUGUGAGCAGUUCUGCCGUGAGUUUGUGGGCCUCUACUGGGCUGGAUUUUGAGUUAUAGAACAUAAGAGUUUUGCCGAGAGUUAUGUAGGCUUUAUGGCACAGAUUUGGAAGUCUAGAGAAAGAGAGGGGAUCGGCUAUAAAAGGGUUGAGUGGCUCUCUCGUAUCUCAUCUUCUUCUACUUCUACUUUAGUUCUAGGAUUUUCUAUUCCUUCUUGUGAUGAACUCCUUUAACAUGAGUACUUAAUUUUAUCAUUGGUUUAAGGAAUAAGUUGGAUUUUCAAAUAUGGGUUUUUAUGCAAUGAAUUAGUUUUGUCUCCA